UGGAUCCAGACUUUGAUCCUGGCUCAGGACGAACGCUGGCGGCGUGCCUAAUACAUGCAAGUCGAACGAAGCUUUCUUUCACCGAAUGCUUGCAUUCACCGAAAGAAGCUUAGUGGCGAACGGGUGAGUAACACGUAGGCAACCUGCCCAAAAGAGGGGGAUAACACUUGGAAACAGGUGCUAAUACCGCAUAACCAUGAACACCGCAUGAUGUUCAUGUAAAAGACGGCUUUUGCUGUCACUUUUGGAUGGGCCUGCGGCGUAUUAACUUGUUGGUGGGGUAACGGCCUACCAAGGUGAUGAUACGUAGCCGAACUGAGAGGUUGAUCGGCCACAUUGGGACUGAGACACGGCCCAAACUCCUACGGGAGGCAGCAGUAGGGAAUCUUCCACGAUGGACGAAAGUCUGAUGGGGCAACGCCGCGUGAAUGAAGAAGGCCUUCGGGUCGUAAAAUUCUGUUGUCAGAGAAGAACGUGCGUGAGAGUAACUGUUCACGUAUUGACGGUAUCUGACCAGAAAGCCACAGCUAACCACGUGCCAGCAGCCGCGGUAAUACGUAGGUGGCGAGCGUUGUCCGGAUUUAUUGGGCGUAAAGGGAACGCAGGCGGUCUUUUAAGUCUGAUGUGAAAGCCUUCGGCUUAACCGAAGUAGUGCAUUGGAAACUGGAAGACUUGAGUGCAGAAGAGGAGAGUGGAACUCCAUGUGUAGCGGUGAAAUGCGUAGAUAUAUGGAAGAACACCAGUGGCGAAAGCGGCUCUCUGGUCUGUAACUGACGCUGAGGUUCGAAAGCGUGGGUAGCAAACAGGAUUAGAUACCCUGGUAGUCCACGCCGUAAACGAUGAGUGCUAAGUGUUGGAGGGUUUCCGCCCUUCAGUGCUGCAGCUAACGCAUUAAGCACCCCGCCUGGGGAGUACGGUCGCAAGACUGCAACUCAAAGGAAUUGACGGA
rnacentral:rRNA from 1 species